rnacentral:snRNA from 1 species
AAGAGAGAUUAGCAUGGCCCCUGCACAAGGAUGACACGCAAAUUCAUGAAGCGUUCUAUAUUUUU